CUUUGAAUAUUUAUGUGUAGGAUAGGUGGCAGACCAUGAAGCAGCUACGCCAGUAGUUGUGGAGUCGUCCUUGAAAUACCACCCUUGAAUAUUUGAAUUUCUAACUCAGGAGAGAUUCGAGGACAGUGUAUGGUGGGUAGUUUGACUGGGGCGGUCUCCUACUAAAGAGUAACGGAGGAGUACGAAGGUGCACUCGGUUCGGUCGGAAAUCGUGCCAAGAGUAUAAAGGCAAAAGUGCGCUUGACUGCGAGAGUG
rnacentral:rRNA from 1 species